rnacentral:rRNA from 1 species
CAAGUCGAGCGGCAGCGGGAAGUAGUUUACUACUUUGCCGGCGAGCGGCGGACGGGUGAGUAAUGUCUGGGGAUCUGCCUGAUGGAGGGGGAUAACUACUGGAAACGGUGGCUAAUACCGCAUGACCUCGCAAGAGCAAAGUGGGGGACCUUAGGGCCUCACGCCAUCGGAUGAACCCAGAUGGGAUUAGCUAGUAGGUGGGGUAAUGGCUCACCUAGGCGACGAUCCCUAGCUGGUCUGAGAGGAUGACCAGCCACACUGGAACUGAGACACGGUCCAGACUCCUACGGGAGGCAGCAGUGGGGAAUAUUGCACAAUGGGCGCAAGCCUGAUGCAGCCAUGCCGCGUGUGUGAAGAAGGCCUUCGGGUUGUAAAGCACUUUCAGCGAGGAGGAAGGGGUUGAGUUUAAU